UACGUAGGGGGCAAGCGUUGUCCGGAAUUAUUGGGCGUAAAGCGCGCGCAGGCGGUUUUUUAAGUCUGGUGUUUAAACCUAGGGCUCAACCUUGGGUCGCAUCGGAAACUGGGGAACUGGAGUGUAGGAGAGGAAAGUGGAAUUCCACGUGUAGCGGUGAAAUGCGUAGAGAUGUGGAGGAACACCAGUGGCGAAGGCAGCCUUCUGGGCCAACACUGACGCUCAUGCACGAAAGCGUGGGGAGCAAACAGG
rnacentral:rRNA from 1 species